rnacentral:rRNA from 1 species
GUCCAGACUCCUACGGGAGGCAGCAGUGGGGAAUAUUGCACAAUGGGGGGAACCCUGAUGCAGCGACGCCGCGUGGGCGAGGAAGUAUUUCGGUAUGUAAAGCCCUAUCGGCAGGGAAGAAGAAAUGACGGUACCUGAAUAAGAAGCACCGGCUAAAUACGUGCCAGCAGCCGCGGUAAUACGUAUGGUGCAAGCGUUAUCCGGAUUUACUGGGCGUAAAGGGAGCGUAGACGGCUGCGCAAGUCUGAAGUGAAAGCCCGGGGCUCAACCCCGGGACUGCUUUGGAAACUGUGUAGCUAGAGUGCUGGAGAGGCAAGCGGAAUUCCUAGUGUAGCGGUGAAAUGCGUAGAUAUUAGGAAGAACCCCAGUGGCGGAGGCGGCUUGCUGGACAUUAACUGACGGUGAGGCUCGAAAGCGUGGGGAGCAAACAGGA